GUUUGUCACAGUCUAGUGAUACUGAUAAGAAUGACAGCCAAAUAACCUAGCAAAUAACUGUUUUAUUAGUUGUUGAAUACUAGCGUUUUGGCCAAGAAUAGUUGGAGAUUUGGAGGUGUUAGUUUAAGAUUGCUUUUAUAUUGUGUCUAUCCGUGUUUCCUAGGAGGGAGACAGAGUGUGUAGUUGUGUGCCCAUAAAUGUGAUUUCUGUAUUGGCAUAUCUGCUGGGUACCCAUUAUGUGUUUCUACAAAGAUAUUGUUUUGUGAGAUGACGUGUAAUAUUACAUGGGAUGCUGAGUAUGAGUUAUAUGGUUUGAAAUGAAUUGGUGAUUAUGAGCUUAGUACUUCAGUAAGAUGUGCUAAAAUUUGGAACAAGGUGGAAGCUGAAAUGUUGGGAUUAUGGAAGAAUAGGUAGUCUAUAUUCACUGCUUUGGCAUAUAAGCAAGAUGCAAAGGAAGAGAUUGGUAAUAUGAUUUUUGUAAAGAAAUUUUACAAGUGUUGGAAGGAUGAGGCAGGUUUGAUGUCUGGAGAUGAUAUAGAUAUCUUUAAAAUACAGUCAUGCCUUGGUAAUAUGUUGCCACAGUAUUCUUUGCUUGUGAAACAAUUGAUUUCAGACUGGGCCAAUUUGGAUAGCUCAGAUUUUCUUACCAAGGUUAUAGAAAAGGAAAAUGCAGGUUGUUUUGAAUUAAGAAAAGAUUUAGGAAAGUAAGGUUGCUUAUUAUGCUCAGGGAUUGCAACAUAUUAUGUCCAGCUACACAGGCUGAGAGCGAGGAUGGGAUGGAGCACAUAAAGCCCGCGGAAGGGGUGGUCAAAGAGGGGCAAGGGGAUGGAGACAGGGAAAUCAGGGUUAUAGGGGCAGGGGUAACCAAGGAGGAAUAGUCAGGAACACUUGUUUCAACUGUGGCCAAUAUGGCCACUGGAGGAAUGAGUGUCCACACCCCAGGAAACCCCAGGAAACCCUACACACCCCAACAACCCCACCUUUCUCAAAAUAUGCCCGGUAGGCAAGAACAACACCAGACCCACUCCCAACACCACUGGCCAGCAUAUCGCUUAGUUCAGGACUUUAGAGCCCUGAAUAGUUUAAUUGUGCCCAUUUCACCCAUUGUCCCUGAUAUGACAUCCCUCGUUACAGCCAUUCCACAUGAUGCCACUUGCUUCACUGUCAUUGAUUUAAGUAAUGCAUUUUUUCUAUACCUAUUGAUCAAGAGACACAGCUACUUAUGGUUUUUAUUUUUUGAAGGCUGCCAGUUUACCUGGACACGCUUACCCAAGGCUAUGUGGAUUCCCCAGCUGUUUAUUCGUUGGUACUCCAACAUACUCUAAAAAAAAAAAAACAUGGACCACCGGUCAUGGUUCCGUCCUUUUUGCAAAAUGUUGAUGAUUUGUUGUUAUGUAGCCCUAGCUAUGAGGCAAGCACUGUG